CCCUUAGAUGUUCUGGGCCGCACGCGCGUUACACUGACGAAUGCAACGAGCUUAUAACCUUGUCCGAAAGGUCUGGGUAAUCUCCAAAUUUCGUCGUGAUGGGGAUAGAUUAUUGCAAUUAUUAAUCUUCAACGAGGAAUGCCUAGUAAGCGCAAGUCAUCAGCUUGCGUUGAUUACGUCCCUGCCCUUUGUACACACCGCCCGUCGCUCCUACCGAUUGAAUGGUCCGGUGAAGCGUUCGGACCGUGGCCUUUGGACGGUUCGCCGUCUGUUGGCUGCGGGAAGUUCGUUAAACCUUAUCAUUUAGAGGAAGGAGAAGUCGUAACA
rnacentral:rRNA from 1 species